rnacentral:rRNA from 1 species
CAUUAGUUAGUUGGUGGGUAAAGGCCUACCAAGACAAUGAUGCAUAGCCGAGUUGAGAGACUGAUCGGCCACAUUGGGACUGAGACACGGCCCAAACUCCUACGGGAGGCUGCAGUAGGAAUCUUCCACAAUGGGCGAAAGCCUGAUGGAGCAACGCCGCGUGUGUGAUGAAGGCUUUCGGGUCGUAAAGCACUGUUGUAUGGGAAGAAAAGUUAAGGUAGGGAAUGACCUUAGCCUGACGGUACCAUACCAGAAAGGGACGGCUAAAUACGUGCCAGCAGCCGCGGUAAUACGUAUGUCCCGAGCGUUAUCCGGAUUUAUUGGGCGUAAAGCGAGCGCAGACGGUUGGUUAAGUCUGAUGUGAAAGCCCGGAGCUCAACUCCGGAAAGGCAUUGGAAACUGGUUAACUUGAGUGCAGUAGAGGUAAGUGGAACUCCAUGUGUAGCGGUGGAAUGCGUAGAUAUAUGGAAGAACACCAGCGGCGAAGGCGGCUUACUGGACUGUAACUGACGUUGAGGCUCGAAAGUGUGGGUAGCAAACAGGAUUAGAUACCCUGGUAGUCCACACCGUAAACGAUGAACACUAGGUGUUAGGAGGUUUCCGCCUCUUAGUGCCGAAGCUAACGCAUUAAGUGUUCCGCCUGGGGAGUACGACCGCAAGGUUGAAACUCAAAGGAAUUGACGGGGACCCGCACAAGCGGUGGAGCAUGUGGUUUAAUUCGAAGCAACGCGAAGAACCUUACCAGGUCUUGACAUCCUUUGAAGCUUUUAGAAAUAGAAGUGUUCUCUUCGGAGACAAAGUGACAGGUGGUGCAUGGUCGUCGUCAGCUCGUGUCGUGAGAUGUUGGGUUAAGUCCCGCAACGAGCGCAACCCUUAUUGUUAGUUGCCAGCAUUCAGAUGGGCACUCUAGCGAGACUGCCGGUGACAAACCGGAGGAAGGCGGGGACGACGUCAGAUCAUCAUGCCCCUUAUGACCUGGGCUACACACGUGCUACAAUGGCGUAUACAACGAGUUGCCAACCUGCGAAGGUGAGCUAAUCUCUUAAAGUACGUCUCAGUUCGGACUGCAGUCUGCAACUCGACUGCACGAAGUCGGAAUCGCUAGUAAUCGCGGAUCAGCACGCCGCGGUGAAUACGUUCCCGGGUCUUGUACACACCGCCCGUCACACCAUGGAAGUUUGUAAUGCCCAAAGCCGGUGGCCUAACCGUAAGGAGGGAACCGUC